rnacentral:misc_RNA from 1 species
GAUGAAGAACGUAGCGAAAUGCGAUAAGUAAUGUGAAUUGCAGAAUUCAGGGAAUCAUCGAAUCUUUGAACGCACAUUGCGCCCGCCAGUAUUCUGGCGGGCAUGCCUGUUCGAGCGUCAUUUCAACCAUCAAGCCCCAGGCUUGUGUUGGGGACCUGCGGCUGCCGCAGGCCCUGAAAACCAGUGGCGGGCUCGCUGUCACACCGGGCGUAGUAGAUUUUAUCUCGCUCAGGGCGUGCUGCGGGUUCCGGCCGUUAAAAAGCCUUUUUUACCCAAGGUUGACCUCGGAUCAGGUAGGAAGACCCGCUGAACUUAAGCAUAUCAAUAAGCGGAGGA